rnacentral:rRNA from 1 species
AGUGAACGCUGGCGGCGUGCUUAACACAUGCAAGUCGAACGAGUAAGUGCUGUAGCAAUACAGAUUACUGCUAGUGGCAGACGGGUGAGUAAUACAUGGGAAUCUUCCUUGAAGUCUGGAAUAACUGUUGGAAACGACAGCUAAUACCGGAUGAUACCUUAGGGUCAAAGACUUAUCGCUUCGAGAUGAGCCCAUGCAAGAUUAGCUAGUUGGUAGGGUAAUGGCCUACCAAGGCGACGAUGGGUAGCUGGUCUGAGAGGAUGGUCAGCCACACUGGGACUGAGAUACGGCCCAGACUCCUACGGGAGGCAGCAGUCGAGAGGCUUCGGCAAAUGGGGGAAACCCUGACCGAGCGACGCCGCGUGAGGGAUGAAGGCCCUUGGGUUGUAAACCUCUUUUGUUCGGGAAGAAGUGCGAUCAGGUGAACAAUCUGGUCGUUUGACGGUACCGGACGAAUAAGCUCCGGCUAACUCCGUGCCAGCAGCCGCGGU